UGUGUGGCAUCAUCAUGUCAACGUUACGUCUAUACAUAAACAUUCUAUACUCCGCUCGAAGAUCUUUGGGUCCCUACCGUCAGACGUCCCGUAAAUUUUCCGACUGUCACCACCACUUUUUGUAUGCUGGUACCGUCAGUAUGUAGACUACCGUGACUGCCUUGGUCCUUCACCAGCUGAUGGAGUUGGAAGAAGAGGAAACCCUCCGCAGACGAGCCCACCAGAGACGUCUCAAGAUGCUAGCUGCGUAUUGGCAUCUGGCGAAUAUCGAGUUUAUGCCAAGAUGAACAGGGCCGUGCCUAUCCUCAGGCUCUUUGACGAGGAGGAAGAAACCAGGACAGAUUUUAGGCCGAGCAGGGCCUCCAUCACAGAUCUACUGGUGUUGCUGCAGCAGGAGCGGCAUCAUGAUUGGGGUUUAAUAGGCAUUACUCCAGUGGUCGUUCGAUAAUAGAGCGGGUAUUUGGCAUGAUGAAGACUCGGUGGCGGGCCAUCUUCUUGCAUGCCUUGGAGGUGGAUGUCUCAUUUGACCCAGACGUCAUUGUUGCAUGCACAGUGUUGCACAACAUAUGUCUGGGCAAUGACGAUGUCUUGCCAUUGGACGACCUGGACCCUGACGAGCCUGGAUGUGAAGCUGAGACUGCCAGUGGGAUGGCCCUGCGAAACAGCAUAGCAGAUGAGUUGAACUUACGGAUCCUUGGCACAUACCCUACGGAAAUCAGUUCACACUGUUUAAUAACCUGUUGUUCAUGUUCAGGAACAUCGAAAGAAGCCUGGGUAACUUUCCAGUUAUAGUUACUUGUUUAAGCACAUUACUAUUUUACUGUUAAUAUUUUUGAAUUAACUUCUUAUCCAGUGUAUAGUUGUAAAAUCAGAAAUCAGUUCUUGCUGUUGAUGUACAUGUUGUUGAGUCAAAAUGCUUUCAUUAACACAUUUACUCCAGUUAUACUUCGAAUCACUGUUAAUGAAAUCAGUUCACACUAAGCCUGGGCCCUCCCGAGGUUUCUCCCUGUGUGGGAGUUUUACCUCGCCACUGAAAUUGGUGUAGAGAUUUGGCUUUCUUGGGGAGCUUUAAAAAAACUAGAUUAAGUACCGGUAGAUAGAUAAUAAUCCAAUAAAGGGUUUUAAACUUAUAUAAA